rnacentral:rRNA from 1 species
GACGAAGGUGGCGAGCGUUGUUCGGUGUCACUGGGCUUAAAGCGUGUGCAGGCGGAAAGGUAAGCGUCUUGUGAAAGCCCUCGGCUUAACCGAGGAAUUGCUGGACGAACUGCUUUUCUUGAGGCAGGCAGGGGUGCACGGAACUCUUGGUGGAGCGGUGAAAUGCGUAGAUAUCAAGAGGAACGCCAGUGGUGAAGACGGUGCACUGGGCCUGAUCUGACGCUGAGACACGAAAGCGUGGGGAGCGAACGGG